GAGUUUGAUCAUGGCUCAGAUUGAACGCUGGCGGCAUGCCUUACACAUGCAAGUCGAACGGCAGCACGGGAGCUUGCUCCUGGUGGCGAGUGGCGAACGGGUGAGUAAUGCAUCGGAACGUAUCCUGGAGUGGGGGAUAACGUAGCGAAAGUUACGCUAAUACCGCAUAUUCUGUGAGCAGGAAAGCGGGGGACCUUCGGGCCUCGCGCUCUUGGAGCGGCCCGAUGUCGGAUUAGCUAGUUGGUGAGGUAAAGGCUCACCAAGGCGACGAUCCGUAGCAGGUCUGAGAGGAUGAUCUGCCACACCGUACG
rnacentral:rRNA from 1 species